rnacentral:rRNA from 1 species
GUGGGGAAUAUUGGACAAUGGGCGAAAGCCUGAUCCAGCCAUGCCGCGUGUGUGAAGAAGGUCUUCGGAUUGUAAAGCACUUUAAGUUGGGAGGAAGGGCAGUAAGUUAAUACCUUGCUGUUUUGACGUUACCGACAGAAUAAGCACCGGCUAACUUCGUGCCAGCAGCCGCGGUAAUACGAAGGGUGCAAGCGUUAAUCGGAAUUACUGGGCGUAAAGCGCGCGUAGGUGGUUUUGUAAGUUGGAGGUGAAAUCCCCGGGCUCAACCUGGGAACUGCCUCCAAAACUGCAUGACUAGAGUACGGUAGAGGGUAGUGGAAUUUCAUGUGUAGCGGUGAAAUGCGUAGAUAUAGGAAGGAACACCAGUGGCGAAGGCGACUACCUGGACUGAUACUGACACUGAGGUGCGAAAGCGUGGGGAGCAAACAGGAUUAGAAACCCGUGUAGUCC